UUUGGGUUGGUUCGGUUGGUUCGGUUUUUUAUAAUAUUUUUAUUGAGCCAUAUAUACUCCUAUAAAUAACGACAUAACUUUGUGUUUAGUCAUUCAUAUAUUACUAAAUAACAUCAAAAUUCAUCAUAUUUAGACAAAAACGUUUCAUUCAAUAUACAAAAAACCAGAUUAGACAAAAGUGGAAUAAAAGACAAAUAUAAAUAGUAGCAUAAAAUAAUAUCAAAGACAUUAUAAUAAAACAUAAAAAAAA
rnacentral:lncRNA from 1 species